CAAAGUUUGAUUCUAACUUUAAGGCUUCCUUUCCCGAGCCACCACACAUGCAAACCCCCUACACCCGUGAGACAACCACUCUUCAACACUAAGCCACAGAAAUCAAUUCCCAUCCACUUCUGACAUCCUCACGCCUGCAGUGCUAAACCCUUAUCCAUCUGUGCAAUCAGGCCUAGGACAUUGGGAACUCAGGCUGACAAAGUCUGUGCCAGCAGUCGCGGUUACACAGAAAGCCGCAGAAAGCCCUCUCAGGUUGAUGUGGGCCCCAUAUUCGGGAUAAACAAAACCAGUCCUAGGUACAAUUACCCCCUAUUACCAAACCCAGACUCCCAUAAUCCAUCGCCACGAAAGCUUACACCAAAACAAGGAUUAGAUACCCUUCUAUUCUAAGCCGCUAACUCAAACCGGGGUACUACGAAUACAUAUUUAAAACCCAAAGAACUUGGCGGUGCUUUAACCUCUCAGGGGAACCUGUGCCUUAAUUCGAUAAUCCCCGUAAAUCUUUCUUACGCUAGCUCCCAGCCUGUGUACUGCCGUCGCCCGUCUACCUUUCAAAAGCUAGUAGACAACCAACACCAGUGUCGGACGUCAGGUCAAAGUGCAGCCCAUGCCUAAGGGGCCAUGGGUUACAACCCAAACAAAGAUACGAACAAAGGCCCGAACUGUCCGUUCAAAGGAGGACUUGACAGUAAGCCUCUUCAUCCGCUGACGCUGAACCCGGCAACCUAAAGCGUGCACAAAUCGCCCGUCACUCUCGCCGAAAGGUGAGAUAAGUCGUAACAUAGUAGGCGUAACGGAAGUUGCCCCUUC
rnacentral:ncRNA from 1 species